CAAAGAACAGCAAAUCUGGUUUGUUUUAGAAGAAAUUUUUGUUGUCUCGUUAGGAGGAAUGGUUGCUGUAUCAAAAAACUAAGGCACAACGCAAAAGAUUUUUUAAAAUUCUAUACAUUGCACUAUCAUAUGCUACACUAAAAUUCACUAUAUUUAAUCGUUCUUUAAGAUUCGCUUAGAUGAACUGUGCCGAAAACAUCCCAUGAAAAAACUGAUUUUACUUACAUUAGUUUAUCGAUUGGAGAUGCAUAACAUAAACGAUAUGGACUUGCUACCAAAAAUUCGUAGUUUCGUUGUGUUUCUAUAGUUUACAGGUUCAAGCUUGAAUCUAGUGAUAUAUAUUUAGUAUAUGUCACUGUGCUACUCAUUGUAGAUCGCAAGCAAAAAAUCCACGGCAGUGGAAGGUGUCGCUAAAAAGCAAUAACAACUGUGUAGCUGACAUUAUUAACCGCAUUAAAAGUAAAACCUGUUUCGACAAAUUAUAAUUUAAAGCAGCUUUAACCGAUGGAUAGAGCAACGCGUAACAGCGUAAAACGAUGGAUUAAAAACCUCAACAAAAUACAGUAAUUCACUUAAUAACGCAUAUAAAAAACAAACACUGAAACACAAUAACGUAGAUUUAUAGAAACUGACUACUAUCCACACAAUUAUAGCGCUCAUACAAACAUUCAUUAACUACACCAAAUACUAGUAGGACGCUUCAAAACAACAAGAAAAGUUUUUAAUCAUGAAAAAUACGAGAUAUUCUAUUUCUUUAUUAUAACAUAAACAUUUGUAUUGUAAAAAUAGGAAAGGAAUGAGAAUAAUAUCCAAUCCAUUCAAAAACAUGCAUUUCAUCACCAAAUCAAUCAAAACAAGCUGACCUGUAACUUGAGAAAAACAAGCCGAAUCGUCUAAAAAUGUCUUUCUAGUGAGCAGGUCAAAAAAACAGACACGCUGUUCAGUCAACCUAACCCAUUUUCUUAAAGACAACGCCAACAAAUUCACGAAUGUUAGAGAACUCUAACAGUAAUUAAAUCCAUUAUAGAAUAGAGUCAGAUGAGAAAGGCAUUGAGAAGGAAGUGGCAUCUUACUUGGAAGAAAGAGCAACGACACCGGGAAGAGCCUUACCCUCCAAGAGUUCAAGAGAAGCACCACCACCGGUAGAGACGUGGGAAAGAGCAUCCUCCUUACCGUACUUCUUGGCAACAGUAGCAGUGUCACCACCACCAACAAUAACAACGUUACCAGCUUCACAGGUCUUGACACAAGCAUCAAGCAUAGACUUGGUACCCUUGGCAAAGUUGUCAAACUCAAAGACACCAGCGGGACCAUUCCAGACAAUGGUCUUGGAGGUGGUGAUAACCUCGGCAAACUUAGCAGAGGACUUGGGUCCACAGUCCAAACCCAUCCAUCCGUCGGGGAUACCCUCCUCGGCGGUGGCAGAGCCAACCUUGGCGUCCUUGUCGAACUUGUCGGCAGUGACGAAGUCAACGGGGAGGAAGACCUCGACGUUGUUCUUCUUGGCCUUGGCCAUCAUGGAUUCGACGUUCUUGGAACCAGCCUCAUCGAAAAGAGAGUCACCAAUCUUCAUACCGUUAAGGACCUUCAAGAAGGUGAAAGCCAUACCACCGCAGAUGAUAAGGCGGUUGACCUUGUCAAGAAGGUUGUCAAUAAGUUGGAUCUUGUCAGCAACCUUGGCACCACCCAAGAUGGCAAGGAAGGGACGAGCGGGGUUCUCCAAAGCCUUGGAGAAGUAGUCGAGCUCCUUCUUCAUAAGGAAACCGGAGACACGGGGGAGAUCGACACCGACCAUAGAGGAGUGAGCACGGUGAGCGGUACCGAAAGCAUCGUUGACAAAGAUGUCACCGAGAGAAGUCAAAGACUUACGGAAAGCCUCGACGGCAGAAGCGUCAGCCUUAACCUUCUUACCGUCAACCUUGGCGGAACCCUCCUCCUCGAUGUGGAAACGCAAGUUCUCCAAAAGGAUGACCUCACCACCCUUGGCUUCCUUGCAGGCCUUUUCGACCUCAGGGCCAACACAGUCGUCAAGGAACUUGACGGGCUUGCCCAAAAGCUUGCUGAGCUCAGCAGCAACAGGCUUCAAGGAGUACUUGGCAACACGAGCACCGUUGGGACGGCCCAAGUGAGACAUCAAGAUGACAGCCUUGGGUUGUUGCUCAAGAGCGUACUUGAUGGUGGGGAGAGCACCAACGAUACGGGCAUUGUUGGUGAUACGGUCACCGUCCAAAGGGACGUUGAAGUCGACACGGAUCAAGACGUUCUUGCCCUUCAAGUCGACGUCGGUGAUAGCGAGCUUAGUAGACAAAGACAUGGUUAUGUGAUUGAUUGAUUCUGGAUUGAGACGGAUUUGUCUUUACAGAAGGCUUUAGCGCUAGCACCUUGGCCUCAUAUUUAUACCCCAAUUAAUCGGGGAGGGUGAGGCAUUUAGAAAGUCGAUGGAAUGCCGUGGAUCAUAUGUAUGUUUCUAGAGAAACAUACCGACCAUGGUGUGUUGACGGACGACGACGAAAUCGGAAGAGUCGUCAGGUGACAUGAGACGCCGAUCAAGUAGCGUUUCCGCCAGAAGCGGCUGUCAGGAGCAUUUCACUGUGACGUAACUUUAUAUACAUUUUGAAACAAGUUGCAUUUAGCGUUACCUUUGUAAUCGUUUAUUGACGAAUCGGAAAAAUGUAUCCAUCAUUUGGGGAAUCGGAAAAACCUAGUUAAAAAGGUAGUGAGGCGUAUGCUACCUACAUUCUGACCAUAGUGCGCCUGCGAUAGCAUACGGUAAAUGUAAUUUUUCGGAAAAACCUGCUAUCUACUAUCGCUUCGUAACAGAGGGUCGGAAAGGAAAACGGGAUUGGACAACGACAUGCAUCCACGACGUUUGCCGAAUAUUUUCGUCAUUGAGCCUUUGAAAAAUAGAGUCGCCAUAAGCGAGAAGUUUAAAGCUUGUAAACGUAUCUUUAACAAAUUGCGCGACUAAAUUCGUAAAACAUAAGUAAGGAGUGAUAAUGCGAACGUGGGUUGGUUGGGAGUUCGCUGCUCCUUUUCCACCUAGUGCUGUUUUGUUUGCCUCUAUAACGAAUGUGAAGGUUGCAAAGCUAAGGUUUGCAUCGGCACUGUUAUCGAUACGACGAGAAGUGUUGCAGAGAAGGAUGCAGCUAGCUGGAGUACAUUCAAUAGCAGCUUAAAUUAAUUUUUGUAACGUUAAUUAAAUUAGCGAUUUUUGCUCGUCAAGUAGAUUCAAAAAAUUUUUAAAAGUCAAUUCAACAUUUGCAACAGACAUCAAGCAAUAGCUGAAUAGCAAAUACUGAGAGAUUUUGCUCGUAAAUUGUUAAGUGCAGUAUUGGAAAGUGUAGGAUCAAUAUCUGCUAGUUUCAGAUGAAAUUCUAAUUUACUAUCAUGCUUCAUUCCUAAAGUGUCUUUUAAUGUAGCAAAAACAUUUUACUGGAUUUACGUUUUGGACAAACGUUUUUUUUUGAUAACAGCUUCUUUUCACAGCAUGAAGACACACUUUUCGACAUCAACAAUACAACAUACUCUGUGUAUUCAUUUCGUGCGUAUCACUAUAUGUCCCAUGUUUUAUUUACUCUACCAACUUAACGUGAUAAGUUUUCAUGCUAGAGAUUUUAUUAUAUAAUAUGAUAAGAUAACUAGCUGUUACAAUACUAGCAAUUCAUAGUGUAAACUGAGAUGAACUGAAUCUCGUUCUCCACUUUAGCUAAGGCUUUUUCAGUAAAGAU
rnacentral:lncRNA from 1 species